rnacentral:rRNA from 1 species
GACGAACGCUGGCGGCGUGCUUAACACAUGCAAGUCGAACGGUGAACCAGAGCUUGCUCUGGGGAUCAGUGGCGAACGGGUGAGUAACACGUGGGCAACCUGCCCAGACUCUGGGAUAACCUCGGGAAACCGAUGCUAAUACCGGAUACGACCACUUCGGACAUCCGACGGUGGUGGAAAGUUUUUCGGUCUGGGAUGGGCCCGCGGCCUAUCAGCUAGUUGGUGGGGUAAUGGCCUACCAAGGCGACGACGGGUAGCCGGCCUGAGAGGGCGACCGGCCACACUGGAACUGAGACACGGUCCAGACUCCUACGGGAGGCAGCAGUGAGGAAUAUUGCACAAUGGGCGAAAGCCUGAUGCAGCGACGCCGCGUGAGGGACGACGGCCUUCGGGUUGUAAACCGUCUUUCUAGCAGGGACGAAGCGAAAGUAGACUGUACCUGCAGAAGAAGACACCGGCUAACUAACGUGCCAGCAGCCGCGGUAAU